GAUGAACGCUGGCGGCGUGCCUAAUACAUGCAAGUCGAGCGAACGGACGAGAAGCUUGCUUCUCUGAUGUUAGCGGCGGACGGGUGAGUAACACGUGGAUAACCUACCUAUAAGACUGGGAUAACUUCGGGAAACCGGAGCUAAUACCGGAUAAUAUUUUGAACCGCAUGGUUCAAAAGUGAAAGACGGUCUUGCUGUCACUUAUAGAUGGAUCCGCGCUGCAUUGGCUAGUUGGUAAGGUAACGGCUUACCAAGGCAACGAUGCAUAGCCGACCUGAGAGGGUGAUCGGCCACACUGGAACUGAGACACGGUCCAGACUCCUACGGGAGGCAGCAGUAGGGAAUCUUCCGCAAUGGGCGAAAGCCUGACGGAGCAACGCCGCGUGAGUGAUGAAGGUCUUCGGAUCGUAAAACUCUGUUAUUAGGGAAGAACAUAUGUGUAAGUAACUGUGCACAUCUUGACGGUACCUAAUCAGAAAGCCACGGCUAACUACG
rnacentral:rRNA from 1 species